AUUGAACGCUGGCGGCAGGCUUAACACAUGCAAGUCGAACGAGUGGCGGACGGGUGAGUAAUGCUUGGAAAUCUGGCUUAUGGAGGGGGAUAACGACGGGAAACUGUCGCUAAUACCGCGUACCAUAGGCUGAGCCCAAGUGGGAUUAGGUAGUUGGUGGGGUAAUGGCCUACCAAGCCGACGAUCUCGAGCUGGUCUGAGAGGAUGACCAGACACACCGGGACUGAGAGACGGCCCGGACUCCGACGGGAGGCAGCAGAGGGGAAUAUUGCGAAAUGGGGGCAACCCUGACGCAGCCAUGCCGCGUGUAUGAAGAAGGCCUUCGGGUUGUAAAGUACUUUCAGCGGGGAGGCGUUGCCCGCAGAAGAAGCACCGGCUAACUCCGUGCCAGCAGCCGCGGUAAUAC
rnacentral:rRNA from 1 species